UACAGAGGGGGCAAGCGUUGUUCGGAAUUACUGGGCGUAAAGGGCGCGUAGGCGGCCUUCUAAGUCGGACGUGAAAUCCCCGGGCUCAACCCGGGAACUGCGUCCGAUACUGGAAGGCUUGAAUUCGGGAGAGGGAUGCGGAAUUCCAGGUGUAGCGGUGAAAUGCGUAGAUAUCUGGAGGAACACCGGUGGCGAAGGCGGCAUCCUGGACCGGCAUUGACGCUGAGGCGCGAAAGCCAGGGGAGCAAGCGGG
rnacentral:rRNA from 1 species